ACUCCUACGGGAGGCAGCAGUGGGGAAUAUUGCACAAUGGGCGCAAGCCUGAUGCAGCCAUGCCGCGUGUGUGAAGAAGGCCUUCGGGUUGUAAAGCACUUUCAGUCGUGAGGAAGGUAGUGUAGUUAAUAGCUGCAUUAUUUGUACGUUAGCGACAGAAGAAGCACCGGCUAACUCCGUGCCAGCAGCCGCGGUAAGUACGGAGGGUGUGAGCGUUAAUCGGAAUUACUGGGCGUAAAGCGCAUGCAGGUGGUUGUUAAGUCAGAUGUGAAAGCCCGGGGCUCAACCUCGGAAUUGCAUUUGAAACUGGCAGACUAGAGUACUGUAGAGGGGGUAGAAUUUCAGGUGUAGCGGUGAAAUGCGUAGAGAUCUGAAGGAAUACCGGUGGCGAAGCGGCCCCUGGACAGAUACUGACACUCAGAUGCGAAAGCGUGGGAGCAAACAGGAUUAGAU
rnacentral:rRNA from 1 species